CGUCAAAUUACAACACUUUGUUCGAGUGUAGUGGAAUACAAGCAGAAACCAGUUAGUUUGUAAAAUAGUAAUAUGAAACCGAGUGUAAACUGGUUCCUGGCUGAUUACUACACAAUGAUCAUGCAUAAUGAUAACACAAGCAGAUUCCAGUUUGUAUUGAAAAUAGUAAAUACGAAACCAAGCGCGGUAGGCAGAGAAAUGUAAUGAAGUUCAGGUCGCCAGUAAUGGAACAAUGACUGCGUCAUUUUCCAAAAAAAAAAAAAAGAA
rnacentral:lncRNA from 1 species